AACAUGCGAUUAUGAAAAAUAAGGUGCAGGAUGCUGCACUAAUUUGGACUAAGGACAAUAAGGUUUAAAAGGAGAAGGAAAAAAUGUGCAAGAUGCGAUGAUAGUGAAGAUGUUGUAAAGGUUGGCUUGGUCCUCUUUGUCGAAACUGUGAUAGUGACUUUAAAGAUAUUUAUAAAAAGGCUAUGGUAAGCUCUUAUCAAGUUCUGUGUUUCUAAAGCUUCCAGAUCCAGAUGGAAAGGAAUGAAAGGUGGGUUUGAAGAUGACAACGUUGUUUGGCUGCAAAAAGCUCAUUUUGUUUUCAACCCGAAUUCUGAUUUAGUAGCUAAGUCGUUGCAUGUCAGUCCUUUUAUGAAUGUAAGAUGGAAGAUGAUUCGAGUGAUACAGAUUUUCUCGGUCAGGAUUUGAUGAUGUUUCUCUUUUCCUUGUUGAAAAAAAGGAAUAAACAUUUGAGUAAAGGAAAUCAAUUUGACCAGACAUAGCUACAACUAUCUCUUGAAGCUCAACCAGUAUACUUCAAACUGACUUAUGUCAUUUUGUGACGUUUUUGUUGAUUUCGGUCUGUGCUUCUUCAUUAUUGAAUGGAAGUAUUUAGCAUGUCUUUAGAUGACUGAAUUCCUCUCCUCUGUCAUCGUAGGGUAUCUACCAACUCCCACAGUACCACCUCCUCUAUCAUGACAUUGUUGUGAAUUUUAUUGGUUUUGUUGGUAAAGUUUUAUUUAGAGCUUUCUAGUUUAAAUGCAUAUUGCAUAUUGAAAUUUCGUCUUAUUUCUUAAUUAGUUAUCCCUCGAUAGUUCUACGUUUUAGUAUCUUAAUGAUGUUGUUUCAUAAAUUAUCUUUUCUUUUGUAAGUUACAGUAUUUUCUAUUCUUUGGAGAAAAAUUUAUUGAAGUAUUGAUCUCUACUA